rnacentral:tRNA from 1 species
AAAGAUUUAGUUAAAGAAUAACGUAGGCUUGUCAAGCUUAAAUUAAUAAAAAAUUAAUUUUUU